rnacentral:rRNA from 1 species
UACGGAGGAUCCAAGCGUUAUCCGGAUUCAUUGGGUUUAAAGGGUGCGUAGGCGGAAUGAUAAGUCAGUGGUGAAAUCCUGCAGCUUAACUGCAGAACUGCCAUUGACUACUGUCAAUCUUGAGUACAUUUGAUGUGGGCGGAAUGUGUCAUGUAGCGGUGAAAUGCUUAGAUAUGACACAGAACACCGAUUGCGAAGGCAGCUCACAAAACUGUAACUGACGCUGAGGCACGAAAGCGUGGGUAUCAAACAGG